rnacentral:rRNA from 1 species
GAUGAACGCUGGCGGCGUGCCUAAUACAUGCAAGUCGAGCGAACGGACGAGAAGCUUGCUUCUCUGAUGUUAGCGGCGGACGGGUGAGUAACACGUGGAUAACCUACCUAUAAGACUGGGAUAACUUCGGGAAACCGGAGCUAAUACCGGAUAAUAUUUUGAACCGCAUGGUUCAAAAGUGAAAGACGGUCUUGCUGUCACUUAUAGAUGGAUCCGCGCUGCAUUAGCUAGUUGGUAAGGUAACGGCUUACCAAGGCAACGAUGCAUAGCCGACCUGAGAGGGUGAUCGGCCACACUGGAAGUGAGACGCGGUCAAGACUCCUACGGGAGGCAGCAGUAGGGAAUCGUCCGCAAUGGGCGAAAGCCUGACGGAGCAACGCCGCGUGAGUGAUGAAGGUCUUCGGAGCGGAAAACUCUGUUAUGAGGGAAGAACAGAUGUGUAAGGAACUGUGCACAUCUUGACGGUACCUAAUCAGAAAGCCACGGCUAACUACGUG